AGUUAUAUAUCUUGUUAUUUCCAAUCACUCUCCUGUUUUAAGUCAAUUCAAGGCACUCUUAAAAGGACAUUAUAUAGUUUAUAACACUAUUACGCUAAAGAUAAUAUAUAAGAGAAGCGUAAGCCUUUUUUAAUACUGUCCUAUUCUUUAAUUUAUCCUUACUUUGUGUUUAUUGUAUUAUUUCAGAAUGGCGUUACAUGCACUCUUGUGGACAAAGCCCCCCACCCCUUAUUUCCGACCCCCACCGAUCCACCUGUGUGUCGUGGGGAUGGUGGAGCAGAGCAAGGUGGUGGUCUGGGACUUUGAUCCCGCAGUCUCAGAUGGGGAGUCAGUGGGAAAACUGGCUUCCUACGAAGAGUUCGGGGGGAAAUUUAAAGAGGGUGGCCAUUAUUUUAUAAAGGGGCAUUCCCUGAGAGGGAACUCUCCACCCUAUAUUAUAGUGGUUAAUAAGGACACUAUGUUCUUUAGAAGUGCUCCUAUAGCACUAUCCGAAGAAUUAAAAGAGCAGGCGGAGGCCCUCAUCCGUCCACUCUCACCACUGACGCCCCUCAGCACCUGCAGGAACGCCAAGGGGUUUCUGACCGUGGAGGGGGAAGUGAUCGAA
ensembl:lncRNA